rnacentral:rRNA from 1 species
CCCUUAGAUGCUCUGGGCCGCACGCGUGCUACACUGAUGCAUUCAACGAGUCUAAAACCUGGUCUGAUAGGGCUGGGUAAUCUUUUGAAAGUGCAUCGUGAUUGGGAUAGAUGAUUGCAAUUCUUCAUCUUCAACGAGGAAUGCCUAGUAAACGCAAGUCAUCAGCUUGCAUUGAUUACGUCCCUGCCCUUUGUACACACCGCCCGUCGCUCCUACCGAUUGAAUGAUCCGAUGAAUACCAUGGAUUGAGAGUACGAAUAGGUUCGCUUAUUUCUGCUGCUCGAGAAGUGGAGUAAAUCUUAUCAUUUAGAGGAAGGAGAAGUCGUAACA